rnacentral:rRNA from 1 species
UACGUAGGGGCAAGCGUUGUCCGGAAUCAUUGGGCGUAAAGCGCGUGUAGGCGGCUAGGUAAGUCUGCUCUGAAAGCCCGGGCUCAACCCGGGAGGCGGUGAUACUGUCUAGCUCGAGUCCGGAAGAGAGUGUGGAAUUCCUGGUGUAGCGGUGAAAUGCGCAGAUAUCAGGAGAACACCAAUGGCGAAGCAGCACUCUGGGACGUGACUGACGCUGAGACGCGAAAGCGUGGAGCGAACAGG